CAGGGCUUGUCUACAUCAGAAAGUUGCAGCGCUGGUGAGGGAGUUACAGCGCUGCAACUUUGAAGGUGUACACAUCUGCAGGGCACCACCAGCGCUGCAACUCCCUGUUUGCAGCGCUGGCCGUACUCCCGUUUUGUCUCGGGUGUAGAGGAUCCAGCGCUGGUGAUCCAGCGCUGGUAAUCCAAUGUAGACACUUACCAGCGCUUUUCUUGACCUCCGUGGAAGGAGGAAGCCUCUGGUAAUCAAGCUGGUCUCCUUUCCCGGUUUGCUCUCUCGUUCCCGGAGCCCAGAGCAAGCAGGUCUCCUUCCCUGCGGUUUGCUGGGUGGCUCCGGGAACGCGAGAGCAAACCGCGGCGAAGCGGGUCUCCUUUCCCGGUUUGCUCUCUCGUUCCCGGAGCCCCGAGCAAGCAGGUCUCCUUCCCUGCGGUUUGCUGGGUGGCUCCGGGAACGCGAGAGCAAACCGCGGCGAAGCGGGUCUCCUUUCCCGGUUUGCUCUCUCGUUCCCGGAGCCCCGAGCAAGCAGGUCUCCUUCCCUGCGGUUUGCUGGGUGGCUCCGGGAACGAGAGAGCAAACCGCGGCGAAGCGGGUCUCCUUUCCCGGUUU